UACGUAGGGCGCAAGCGUUGUCCGGAUUUAUUGGGCGUAAAGAGCCCGCAGGCGGCUUGGCAAGUUUGAGGUGAAAUCUCCCGGCUUAACUGGGAGGGGGCCUCGAAAACUGCCAGGCUUGAGGCAUGGAGAGGGAUGCGGAAUUCCCGGUGUAGUGGUGAAAUGCGUAGAUAUCGGGAGGAACACCAGUGGCGAAGGCGGCAUCCUGGCCAUGUCCUGACGCUCAGGGGCGAAAGCGUGGGGAGCAAACCGG
rnacentral:rRNA from 1 species